rnacentral:rRNA from 1 species
GACGAACGCUGGCGGCGUGCCUAACACAUGCAAGUCGAGCGAUGAAGUUUCCUUCGGGAAACGGAUUUGCGGCGGACGGGUGAGUAACACGUGGGUAACCUGCCUCAUAGAGGGGAAUAGCCUCCCGAAAGGGAGAUUAAUACCGCAUAAUAUUACAGUUUCGCAUGAAACAGUAAUUAAAGGAGCAAUCCGCUAUGAGAUGGACCCGCGGCGCAUUAGCUAGUUGGUGAGGUAACGGCUCACCAAGGCGACGAUGCGUAGCCGACCUGAGAGGGUGAUCGGCCACAUUGGGACUGAGACACGGCCCAGACUCCUACGGGAGGCAGCAGUGGGGAAUAUUGCACAAUGGGGGAAACCCUGAUGCAGCAACGCCGCGUGAGUGAUGACGGUCUUCGGAUUGUAAAGCUCUGUCUUUGGGGACGAUAAUGACGGUACCCAAGGAGGAAGCCACGGCUAACUACGUGCCAGCCGCCGCGGUAACAC